rnacentral:rRNA from 1 species
ACAGCAGUCGCCGCGGGAAUACGUAGGGUGCGAGCGUUAAUCGGAAUUACUGGGCGUAAAGCGUGCGCAGGCGGUUGUGUAAGACAGAUGUGAAAUCCCCGGGCUCAACCUGGGACCUGCAUUUGUGACUGUAUAGCUAGAGUACGGCAGAGGGGGAUGGAAUUCCGCGUGUAGCAGUGAAAUGCGUAGAUAUGCGGAGGAACACCGAUGGCGAAGGCAAUCCCCUGGACCUGUACUGACGCUCAUGCACGAAAGCGUGGGGAGCAAACAGGAUUAGAUACCCGGUAGUCCCUGUCUCUUAUACA